AUUGAACGCUGGCGGCAGGCUUAACACAUGCAAGUCGAGCGGGGUGAUGGUGCUUGCACUAUCACUUAGCGGCGGACGGGUGAGUAAUGCUUAGGAAUCUGCCUAUUAGUGGGGGACAACAUCUCGAAAGGGAUGCUGAUACCGCAUACGUCCUACGGGAGAAAGCAGGGGAGCACUUGUGACCUUGCGCUAAUAAAUGAGCCUAAGUCGGAGUAGCUAGUUGGUGGGGUAAAGGCCUACGAAGGCGACGAUCUGUAGCGGGUCUGAGAGGAUGAUCCGCCAAACUGGGACUGAGACACGGCCCAGACUCCUACGGGAGGCAGCAGUGGGGAAUAUUGGACAAUGGGGGGAACCCUGAUCCAGCCAUGCCGCGUGUGUGAAGAAGGCCUUAUGGUUGUAAAGCACUUUAAGCGAGGAGGAGGCUCUUUUGGUUAAUACCCAAGAUGAGUGGACGUUACUCGCAGAAUAAGCACCGGCUAACUCUGUGCCAGCAGCCGCCGUAA
rnacentral:rRNA from 1 species